rnacentral:rRNA from 1 species
UAGUGUUUGAUCAUGGCUCAGGAUGAACGCUGGCGGCGUGCUUAAUACAUGUAGUCGAACGGAGCUCAUUUAGCAAUAGAUGAGUUUAGUGGCGAACGGGUGCGUAACGCGUUGGUGACCUGCCCCGAAGAGGGGGAUAACAGUUCGAAAGGACUGCUAAUACCCCAUGUGGUGGAAGAGGUUAGAGGCUUUUCCACUGAAGGAGCAAUUCGCUUCGGGAGGGACCUGCGUCCCAUCAGCUAGUUGGUAAGGUAACGGCCUACCAAGGCGACGACGGGUAGGGGGCCUGAGAGGGUGGCCCCCCACACUGGCACUGAAAUACGGGCCAGACACCUACGGGUGGCAGCAGUAGGGAAUAUUGCACAAUGGGCGAAAGCCUGAUGCAGCAACGCCGCGUGCACGAUGAAGGUCUUCGGAUCGUAAAGUGCUUUUCUGGGAGAUGAGAAAGGACAGUAUCCCAGGAAUAAGUCUCGGCUAACUACGUGCCAGCCGCCGCGGUAAUUC